UACGAAGGGGGCUAGCGUUGUUCGGAAUUACUGGGCGUAAAGCGCACGUAGGCGGACAUUUAAGUCAGGGGUGAAAUCCCGGGGCUCAACCCCGGAACUGCCUUUGAUACUGGGUGUCUAGAGUAUGGAAGAGGUGAGUGGAAUUCCGAGUGUAGAGGUGAAAUGCGUAGAUAUCAGGAGGAAUACCGGUGGCGAAAGCGACUCUCUGGACGGCAACUGACGCUGAGGCACGAAAGCGUGGGGAGCAAACAGG
rnacentral:rRNA from 1 species